GGGAAGUUUAGGGAUGGGGCUAGCGGAGCAUAGAGCGGACGUUGCUAAAGGAAGAGUUGGUGCAGCUAUAGCAAUGAAGACGUAUGAACAAGAUGUCAUCGUGGACUGGAGGGAUGCUGGAAUUAUCAGAUAGAUUCAAGAAGUUUUUGGGCUCAGCAUUGUUGAGGCUGUGGAGAUCGGGGGAGGAGGCUGGGUGCCGGUUGUCAGUGGUGACCGGCCGAUCGGCCUGGCGCCUGCAUGGACGUGGGCGGCGGGGAAAGGUGUGUAAAUUCUCCCAAAAUUUGUGAUUCUUCAAUGCAGUGGAUCUU
rnacentral:lncRNA from 1 species